rnacentral:misc_RNA from 1 species
GACUUGCGUUAGGGAUGGAAGCGGUAUCUCCCGAUGUAGAAAACAAGGCUUUUGCCGUAGUUUUUCUUAUCGGGAAUUUAGCGUACAGCCCGCCCGAUU